rnacentral:rRNA from 1 species
GGGUCAGUAGGUUGGUCGUGCCUCCGGUAUGUACUGGUCUCGGUGGUUCCUCCUUCUUGUAGAACCGUAAUGCCAUUAAUUUGGUGUUGCGGGAAAACAGGACUGUUACUUUGAAAAAAUUAGGGUGUUUAAAGCAGGCGAUCGCUUGAAUACAUUAGCAUGGAAUAAUGAAAUAGGACGUUCGAUCCUAUUUUGUUGGUUUCUAGGAUUGACGUA